AACAAAACAGGCAAGGCAAAUAGGUUUCUUUCCUGGAGCUUGGAUACACUCUUAUCCUGCCCUUGGUCAGCAGAACUCCAGGCUCGCUGGCCUUUGGACUCUAGGACUUACACCAGCAACCCCCACUCCUACCCCAGGUUUUCAGGCCCUGGAACUUGGCCUGAACAACACUACUGGCAUUCCAGGAUCCCCAGCAUGUAGAUGGCUGUCACAGGACUUCUCAGCCUCAGUAAUCAGGAUCUCAGGCCCUGGAACUUGGACUGAGCAACACUACUGGCAUUCCAGGGUCCCCCAUAUGUAGACGGCUGUCACGGGACUUCUCAGAUUCCAUAAUCAGGAAUGCUUUUCCUCCUCCA
rnacentral:lncRNA from 1 species